CAGAGAGGGAGAAGAACUGGAUCAGAAUUCAUGCCAAGAAGAUGCAGGACCUGGAAACGUUGGCAGCCUCAGGGAAAUCGCAGAAUUAAGGUAAAGGGCUGCAUUUAAAUUAAAGUUUCAAACCAGGGUUAUAAUAGUUUUAGGUUUUUCAUUACAGUUUUAUUUCAUUGACUUUUUGUCUAGCUUUAAUUAGUUUUUAGCGUCUGUUUGAAAGUUUUCAUUAGUUCCUAGUUAAAUUUUGCUUAGUUUCCGUUUAGUUUUUAUAAGUUGUAGUCGUAGAUUUAGUUUUUUUCAUACUUCGACCUUUUUGAAUACUGCAACUAAACAUUAACCAAAACGAGCGGUUACUGAAGGAGGACAGAAUUAUGAAAAGGAAGUAAAGGAAACCAAGCAAGAAGCAAGGGAAAAAGAAAUGUCUCAAGGGCUGUUAAUCAGAUCCUUUUUUUUUUUUGCUUUGUUUUCUUCAAGAAGCUGAUGGACUGCGGCGAGCCGGCGCUGCAGCCAUAGCUGCCAACA